GCGCAUGUGGCGCAGUGGUUAGUGGUGCUUUGCGUCUUAUGCAAGGUCGGUGGUUCGAUCCCGCGCUCAUGCC